rnacentral:rRNA from 1 species
CAGUAGCCGCGGUAAUACAGAGGAUGCAAGCGUUAUCCGGAAUGAUUGGGCGUAAAGCGCACGCAGGCGGUCUGUCAAGUCGGAUGUGAAAUCCCCGGGCUCAACCUGGGAACUGCAUUCGAAACUGGCAGGCUAGAGUCUUGUAGAGGGGGGUAGAAUUCCACGUGUAGCAGUGAAAUGCGUAGAGAUGUGGAGGAAUACCGAUGGCGAAGGCAGCCCCCUGGGCCAAUACUGACGCUCAUGCACGAAAGCGUGGGGAGCAAACAGGAUUAGAUACCCGCGUAGUCCCUGUCUCUUAUAC